ensembl:lncRNA
CUGAAGUUUAGACAGGUGGAUAUCUGAUCAGUAGGAGAGCAAAUGUCAGAUGGCAGACUGAGCGAGUAUAGUCCUUCCCCCAGUGGCUGCCACGGAAACCUAAGACCCUGGUCUGUGAAGUGGCAGGGAUCUGCUGAGUUAAUGUGCAGCUGAGGUCAGCUUGGCCCCAAUUAAAAUCCUUUCCCCUGAAUUAUGGCUUCUCACUGGGUUGCUGGUUAAUUGUGACCCUGUCCCAGUACCCUUUGUUCUCUCCAAGCAAGAUAAGCAGUGCCUCCUCCUGUUUACAGCCCUGCUUGCAUAUCCACUGUCACCAGAUGCUCUGCAUUCCAUCACUAGAUGUCUUGAAAGCUCACCUUCUUCCCACAUUUGUAAUCAGUAAAUACUGGGUGUCCUGAACUCGGUCCUUGCAGUUUUGAGGCAGGCAGCAGAACCACUGAGCUAAGUCCCCGGCUCCAUCUUCCUUUGUUCUUGUUAGCUGGCAUUGUAUUGCCUCAUAGGAGACCAAGACUCCUGGCCAGGGUUCUCAAUAAUGUUCCCUGUACACAAUUAGGAAAUACCUUAGCCAGGUGUGGUGGUGCACACCUGUAUUCCCAGCACUCAGGAGGCUGAGGCAGGAAGAUCCGAAGUUCAAGGUCAGCCUGGGCUACAGAGCAAGUUCAAGGCUGGCCUGGACAGCAAGACCAGAAGGAGUGGAGUGGGGGGAGAGAGAGAGAGAGAGUAUGAAUGAAUCCUGAUUGUGCCAGAGCCAUUCCUAAGAAUGGCUCCAAGAUCCUGAAGAUAUUCUCUUGUAUUAUCUUCUAAAAGUUUCAAGUUUGGGGCUGGGGAUUUAGCUCAGUGGUGCCAUGCCUGCCUCACAAGCAUUAAGGUCCUGAGUUUGAUCCCCAGUACCAAAAAAAAAAACAACUAUCAAACUAAAAGUUUAAUGUUUUGCCUUUUAAAUUUCAGUCUUUAAUCCAUCUUGAAUUGGCUUUUUUGGGGAGAGGGGGUGAGAGAAUCAUUAAUUCUUUUUCCCUGUGAGUACUCAGUUGUUCUAGCACAUUCUAUGAAUCGUGCCUCUUUUCCCCAGUGACCUCAAACAUGGUCUCUGUGAUAAAUUGUUUCUCUUGCACAUCAAGUCUGUUUCUGGGAUGUGUUUUGUGUCUCACUGAUAUUUUUAUCUGUCUCUCCAUGAGCACCACAUGAUCUUACCAUACUUUUGUGAUAAGUCUUGAUGUCUUUAACAUUUUUUUCUUUAAAAUGAAACUGGGAAUUUUAAGUCAAACACACAGGAUAUUGCAGAGAUCCCAAAAGCUGUAAUGCGUCAGUAGCUAGAACCACACCUUACCAAAGGAUGGAGCAGGUGAUCAGCACAACUCUCUUUUUAAAAUUUUUUUAUUAUUAUUAGUUUUUUUUUCUUGGUACCGGGGAUCAAACUUGGGACCUUUCCCUUGCAAGGCAGGCGCUGGAACCACUGAGCUAAAUCCCCGGCCCUUAAGCACAACUUUCUAACCCUGAGUCUUACAUGAUCACAAAGAGAGUAUUUCAGAGGCUUGUCCUUCUGUCUGAAUAAGGAACUAGAAUGCAGAUUCAUUUCUGCUUGCUUUUUUUAUCCUUCUAGUCUGUGUUGGUUACUUUUCUCUCCUUGCUGAGACAAAAUACCCAACACUCAAAGUUAAAGGGGAAAGGUUUUUUGGCACACAGUUGGUAGAGGUUUCAAUCCAUAAUCGGCUGGCCCCAAGGCAGGGUGGCACAUGGCAGAGGGGCAAUAGUGCAUGGGGGACCAAAGGUAGCCAAGCAGCAAGCGGACUUAACAGCGUCUCCCUGCCCCUUUUAUCUUAUCCAGGCUACUUAGGGCGGGUAGCACUCACAGCCUUAAUCCUAGUGCCCUUGAGCCUAGCGUGCAUCAUUAAUCAAUUCCAGUGUCUCACAUUCUAGAUCCAGUCACCUCUUCUAAAGCCCCACCUAUGACCGUAUGAGGCUCUGGGGGGAUAUCUAGACACAGCCACAACACAGUCCUUUCUGCUGGUCCCAAACUUGUCAAGCACAUGUCGGCAGGUGUUCAGGAGCUCUCUCAGGUCUCUCUGAAGUGGCUCAAUAGCUAGACGAGCACUUGAGUCCCAAUGUACAAAGUGAUUUUGCUCUCUGAAGGCUGGGCCGUUCCACUUUUGGGUUCUUCAUAGUCAUGUGCCACUGAGAAUUUCCUAGGACGGUCCUCAUGCAAUAAAAAUGUCACACAGCAUCUGCCCCUCCAGCUGGCUGCACCACUUCCAGGGCUGGCUUCCUGUCACCUUCUGCCAUGGAUGUCUUCAAUCCAGGUAUUUGUCUGCUACUUUUCCAUCACGGAACAGUUUCUGGAUCCUCAGCCAGUGACGGGAGAACAGAGCCUGUGCCCCAUAGGGAAAAUGAAACUUUUCAUUGGGAAUGGUUUUUCCUAGCCCUUUGCUGUUGUAUGAAUCUGAGAAUAAGCUUUUUAUCUUUCUUGAAAAGCUCUGUUGAAAUUUUGAUUGCAGUUGUCCUGUUUUUAAUUUCAAAGCAAAGAUUCUAACUUUUCAUUCCUGCACAAAUUUGUUAUAGGUUUUUCGUAGAUGCUUUUCAACUGGUUAAGGGAGCUUUCUGUUCUUAGUUUACUUUGAGUUAUUGCCAUGAAGGGUUGUUGAAUUGUAUAAAAUAUUAUUUUGAAACUACUAAGACAUUAUAGUUCUUUAAUAUGUUGAUGUGGCCACUCUAGGGAUAAACAUUUUCUAACACCACUGUCCUGGCAUUCUGGGAUAAACCCAUUACCUGCCAUGGUUACAAUGUGGUUACAAUGUAUCAUGCUUAGAUCUGUGGCCUGCUGACAUACUAAUAUUUUAUUUCCUCUUUUUACAGUUACGUUCUGACUGACUUCUGAGUGAUAACGAUGCAGUCUUGUAUUGGUGUCAGCUGACAUCACACAGCGAGUUGGCCCACGUUCUCACUCUUCCCAUUUUCCAGAAGUGCUGUAAGAGAAGGAAUGAUUAAAUCCAUGAAAGUGUAGCAGCACUUACUUCUUGACCAUUUGGGCUUGAAGAUUUUCCUCUGGUUUAAAUUUUCUCAACCUCUUUAAUAAUUCUAGACUUGUUUUCUUUUAUUUAAAACUAACAUUUUCCUGGGGAAUUGAACUCUCUACUAUUACCUAGCAAUCCUUUCCAUCCUUACUAAGGUUUUCUGUUAGUCUGUGUUACUAGAAUUAAUGCAGCUACACUGGCUUUCUUUGGCAGUAUUCGUCCAGUUAUCAUUUUGGACACUGCUAAUCUUUCUAAAUUCCCAUGUUUCAGGAGUGCCUCUUGCAAUGAGCACAUGAAGAAGGAAUGAAGUGAAAAGAGUGAAGAACUUGGGAUCGAACUCAGGACCUUGCCCUUGCAAGGCAGGCGGCUGAACCACUGAGCUACAUCCUCGGCUGAGUCCUGCUUUUGAACUUUAGAUUUGUCUAUGAGUCUUCCUCCCUAUUUGAAAUGGGACCUUCAGUCAUGAAAAUCUUCUAGGAUAAAUUCUUAAACAUCACUGAAUAUGUUUCUGAGAUCGUAGGUAAAUAUCCUUUUGGUACCCCGAGCUAUAACUCCCUGUGAUCUGGUCAUUGGAACUAAUUUAAAUCACCAAGGGCUCUUUCCCUAGUUUUCUUUCUGAGCUCAGUCUCUCUCUGUGAUGUUCUACCCUGACAAACAGGAGUCCCUUCUGCAUAAUGCAGUAAAAUAGGAAGCUGCUGGUCUGCCAUCUGUUAACAUUCCAUAUGCUCAGUUCCUUUCUUAUUCAUCUUCUUGAUCCAAAUCUGUGUUUAAAUUGACCUGUUUUUGUCUUCAGCAUUUGAGUAGCAACCAUCCUUGGUUUUAGUCUAUGCAGAUUAAGCUGGGUGUGGUGACACAUGCAUGUUAUCCCAGCAUUUAUGGAGGCUGAGGCAGGAGGAUUGCAAGUUUGAGUCCCACUUAGGAAAUUUAGCAACACUCUGUCUCAAAAUUUUUAAAAAGGUUUUUUUAAAGAGGUAGCGUGGGGCUGUAGCUCAUUGGUAGAGCUUUCCUGGGCUGUAUCCCCAGUAUCACAGAGGGGAAAAAGUCCAGGUUAAUCUGGAAAAUUUCCCUCGCCCUCCAACUUUCAAUAAGGUUCUUGGAAGAUUAGAGCUUAUCAGAGCAGUCACUCAAGUCUCUUCCUCAGAGUUCUCCUUGUUCUUCCCAAGCAGGACACUCACUGGCCUAGUGUUGGUCAACUGGAAUUUUCAAUGAAGGAAUCAAUACCGUAAGGGUGAAAGUUACCAUGUCCUAAUCAUUCAGUCUUCUGUGAUCCUGUACUGCACUGUGACUUGUCUACUCGUGUUGUGACUGACAAAUUCUUACUGCUUUACAGGGAGGUUACAAAACUCCCUGCUGAUGCUGGGCUGAGACCUGUCAGCAGAUAAGGAGUUUCUGUCUGGUGACUAAAGAUGCCACCGGGAAAGGGGGGACUCCUGGGCCACCCACCUGUCCCUGACUCCGCAGGGACAGGGCUCCGGGACACUGCUGACGGGUGGGGGCUGGAGGUGAGGUCCUGCAUGUCCCCAUCCCCCCUCCUUGGCUUUCCUGUAAAACUGGGGGUAAUUAAGCUGCUCAUAAGCCAUUAGGUGAAGAGUCACGCAGGGUGUGACUCACCCCUGGGCUUCAACUAGGUAUCGAAAUAAUAAAGCUGUAAGAGGAGAUAAUCUGGAUAUAGAGACUCCAGCUCCUUGGAAGUACAGGGACCACAGGCAAUGAGUUAAGAGAAAGGAUGAACUAUCCAUUUUUAAUGUCCUUUUAUUUUCCUUGUCUUUUCUUUUGGUUUUGGAAACAAACACAGACCCUCACAUAAGCUAAGCAUGUGGCCUGCCACUGGGCUAUGCCCUUACCCCCAUUUUUAAGGCUUUGAAGGGAGAAAAUGAAAAACCCUAAAAGCUGCCAGUUUUCAACACAGGUGAAGUCUGUGGAUAGCUUCCAGGCUGGGAUUGCAGCGCCAUGGGAGGCUGGCAGGGAUGAAGGCAGCUGAGUUUUCUUGCCUGCUGCCCCUCUGGGCUGCCCCAGGGAUGUUGGUGGAAGCAGCUUGGAAAGGUGUCAGCUUGGCAGUGAGGAGAGAGAAAGCUGGUGAGGGAGGACUAAGCAGCACGGCCUCUUCUGAGUAAACUGUCACCAGAACUGUGGGAACAGUUCCCUGAUGUGACUCCGAUGCAGCCUUGAAGUCUGAGUGAUGAGGUGGCCACCAGCUUGGAAGACGCUGCUGCAGCCCCAGGAGACUGGCCCCAGCCUUGGACAAGAUCCAGCAGCCCUGCCAGAGAUGGCUUUACAGGAGUGUUUGAAGUGGCCUUAGUUACCUUCCUUCUGGGUCUCCAGGCUUCCUGUCCACGUCCCAUUCACAAAGCCCAGGACUGGGCCAAUUCCACCAGGGUGCCUGGGCCCAGAGAGCGGGUUGUCAUGGCCGAGGUGCCUUUGCAGUAUUUUGCAGUGGUG